GAUGAACGCUAGCGGCAGGCCUAACACAUGCAAGUCGAGGGGUAACAUAGAAAAGCUUGCUUUUCUGAUGACGACCGGCGCACGGGUGCGUAACGCGUAUACAACCUACCUUUUAGCGGGGAAUAGCCCAGGGAAACUUGGAUUAAUGCCCCAUAGUAUAUAGACUUCUCCUGAAGUUUAUAUUAAACAUUUAUGGCUAUUAGAUGGGUAUGCGUCCUAUUAGUUAGUUGGUAAGGUAACGGCUUACCAAGGCAGCGAUAGGUAGGGGUCCUGAGAGGGAGAUCCCCACACUGGUACUGAGACACGGACCAGACUCCUACGGGAGGCAGCAGUGAGGAAUAUUGGACAAUGGGCGAGAGCCUGAUCCAGCCAUGCCGCGUGCAGGAAGACUGCCCUAUGGGUUGUAAACUGCUUUUACAGAGGAAGAGCCACCCCCACGUGUGGGGGUUUGACGGUACUCUGCGAAUAAGGAUCGGCUAACUCCGUG
rnacentral:rRNA from 1 species